rnacentral:rRNA from 1 species
UACGUAGGGGGCAAGCGUUAUCCGGAUUUACUGGGUGUAAAGGGAGCGUAGACGGCCAGACAAGUCAGAAGUGAAAACCCGCGGCUCAACUGCGGGAGUGCUUUUGAAACUGUUUGGCUGGAGUGCAGGAGAGGUAAGUGGAAUUCCUAGUGUAGCGGUGAAAUGCGUAGAUAUAUGGAAGAACACCAGUGGCGAAAGCGGCUCUCUGGUCUGUAACUGACGCUGAGGUUCGAAAGCGUGGGUAGCAAACAGG